rnacentral:rRNA from 1 species
GAUGAACGCUAGCUACAGGCUUAACACAUGCCAGUCGAGGGGAAACGAUGAGAGAGCUUGCUCUCUUAGUCGUCGACCGGCGCACGGGUGAGUAACGCGUAUCCAACCUGCCUCUGACCAAGGGAUAACCCGUCGAAAGUCGGACUAAUACCUUAUGCAGUCGUCGGAAGUCAUCUGAUGACGACGAAAGAUUUCAUCGGUGAGAGAUGGGGAUGCGUCUGAUUAGCUUGUUGGCGGGGUAACGGCCCACCAAGGCGACGAUCAGUAGGGGUUCUGAGAGGAAGGUCCCCCACAUUGGAACUGAGACACGGUCCAAACUCCUACGGGAGGCAGCAGUGAGGAAUAUUGGUCAAUGGGCGUAAGCCUGAACCAGCCAAGUAGCGUGCAGGAUGACGGCCCUAUGGGUUGUAAACUGCUUUUAUGCGGGGAUAAAGUGAGGGACGUGUCCUUCAUUGCAGGUACCGCAUGGAUAAGGACCGGCUAAUUCCGUG